UGGGGAAUAUUGGACAAUGGGCGAAAGCCUGAUCCAGCCAUGCCGCGUGUGUGAAGAAGGUCUUCGGAUUGUAAAGCACUUUAAGUUGGGAGGAAGGGCAGUAAGCGAAUACCUUGCUGUUUUGACGUUACCGACAGAAUAAGCACCGGCUAACUCUGUGCCAGCAGCCGCGGUAAUACAGAGGGUGCAAGCGUUAAUCGGAAUUACUGGGCGUAAAGCGCGCGUAGGUGGUUCGUUAAGUUGAAUGUGAAAGCCCCGGGCUCAACCUGGGAACUGCAUCCAAAACUGGCGAGCGAGAGUAGGGCAGAGGGUCGUGGAAUUUCCUGUGUAGCGGUGAAAUGCGUAGAUAUAGGAAGGAACACCAGUGGCGAAUGCGACCACCUGGGCUCAUACUGACACUGAGGUGCGAAAGCGUGGGGAGCAAACAGG
rnacentral:rRNA from 1 species